CCGCCAUCAUGUCCGGCUAAUUUUUUUGUAUUUUUAGUAGAGACGGAGUUUCACAGUGUUAGCCAGGAUAGCCUUGAUUUCCUGACCUUGUGAUUCGCCCGCCUCGGCCUCCCAAAGUGCUGGGAUUACAAGCGUGAGCCACUGCGUCUGGCUUCCACUCUUUUGAAAAUCUUUACCAAGAAUUGAAUCCAAGAGGAAGAGAAGCAUCCUUCCUUCAGUGCCUUUGUGGUGGUGCUUGGUGAGAGAUAGUGGUGAAGGCAUUGCCUAAAGAGAGAGGCACUAACAGGCAGAGGAGUGGUUGAGACCAGUAAGAACUGCCCUGCCUGGUGGAGCAGAGGCAGAAGCUGAUGCCCAGGCUCUGCAGCAUCUAUAGGGAACUUGGUGCCUGCAGUGCUCAUCAAAUGAUCCAGAGGCCUCCUUGAACACUGCAAAACCCAGAAGAAAUUACCAUGCCAACGGAGCAGAACCAGAUCCUUUGGGGAAACACAGCGCUGGUGGAAGAACUAUAGCUCCAGUAAGCAAAUGUGGUGCCUGGUGGGUGGUUGCUGAAUCAGUGUGUGUUUGUGAGCAUAUGUGAGACACCCACUGAAGAUGCCUAAAAACACCUCUAGAAACUGGCAUUUUAAAAGGAGACUGAGGGCCGGGCGCGGUGGCUCACGCCUGUAAUCCCAGCACUUUAGGAGGCCGAGGCGGGUG
rnacentral:lncRNA from 1 species